rnacentral:rRNA from 1 species
GAUGAACGCUGGCGGCGUGCCUAAUACAUGCAAGUCGAGCGGACGGACGAGAAGCUUGCUUCUCUGAUGUUAGCGGCGGACGGGUGUGUAACACGUGGAUAACCUCCCUAUCAGACUGGGAUCACUUCGGGAAUCCGGAGCUAAUACCGGAUAAUAUUUUGAUCCGCAUGGUUCAAAAGUGAAAUACGGUCUUGCUGUCACUUAUAGCUGGAUCUGCGCUGCAUUAGCUAGUUGGUAGGGUAACGGCGUACCAAGGCAACGAGGCAUAGCCGACGGGAGAGGGUGAUCGGCGACACUGGAACGUGGACAGGGUCAAGACGACUACGGUAGGCAGCAGUAGGGAACCGGAGGCAGUGGGGGAGAGCAUGGCGGAGCAGCGCCGCGUGAGUGAUGGAGGUGUUGGGAGCGUAAUGCUCUGUUAUGGGGGAUGAACAGAUGUGGAAGGAGCUGUGCAGAGCUUGACGGUACUUAGUAAGAAAGCCACGGCUAACUACGUG